UCUUCACAUCCGCUAAAACGUUAAAGAGGCCACGAACCUUCCCGCUUGCUUCCAAGUAUAAAAACCCAGAGCAGUUCAAGAACUUUACACAGUGGCCGUCAAGGCAGAAACGGAGACCAACUCAAGCCUUCAGUCUUCAUCGCCAUUCACCAUGAAGUCCUACGUUAUCUUGGCGCUCGUCAUCCUGGGGCAUCUGUGUCAAAUUCACGCAGCCACGCUUAGCAAACCGGCAAAGAACACAGACGACGCAACAAAACGACUCACGGAAAACAUUUCCCAUUCCCUCAUGGAGCACCAGUGAUGACAUCAUUGAAGCAUUCAAGGCACAUGAAAAGUCUGUAAACAGCUUCGGCGACGAAACCGAUGAGCAAGCAAUUCCGGCCAUAGUGUUGGCUAUCGCGGCGGCCAUUGCAAACGCUGCGGUAU
rnacentral:lncRNA from 1 species